rnacentral:lncRNA from 1 species
AUAAUGUUGAAUAAGCUUUAAUCAAAUUCAGAGAAACCUCAAAGGAAUUCCAAAGAAGCAAUAAGAAAUCUUAAAAAAAUAUUAGAAUGAUUAUAAACAUAUCUCAAAUACAUCUCAAUUUAAUCUUAAUUUAAUUCUAGUUGAAAUCUUAUUGGACUUCAUUCAAACUUUAGGCCAAAAACUAACUAAAUCUUAAAUCUUAAAAAAAUUCAAAUAAAACCCUAAAUCCUAAUUUCUAAAAAAACUCAAAUAAAACCCUAAAUUCUAAAUCAAAUCCUGAUCUAAUCCUAACCAAAUCUUAAACCCUAAACCAAAUCUUUAUUCCUAAAUCAAAUCCUAAAUCCUAAAUCAAACCCUAACCAAAUCCUAAUCUUAAAUCAAAUCCUAACUAAAUUCUAAAUCCUAAAUCCUAAGCCAAAUCCUAAUCUUAAAUCAAAUUAUAACCAAAUCCUAACCAAACCCUAACCCUAAAUCAAACCCUAACCAAAGCCUAAUCCUAAAUCAAAUCCUAACUAAAUCCUAGUAAUUUCUACAA